UUUAAAUUGAGAGUUUGAUCCUGGCUCAGGACGAACGCUGGCGGCGUGCCUAACACAUGCAAGUCGAGCGAUGAAACUUCCUUCGGGAAGUGGAUUAGCGGCGGACGGGUGAGUAACACGUGGGUAACCUGCCUCAAAGAGGGGGAUAGCCUCCCGAAAGGGAGAUUAAUACCGCAUAACAUUAUUUUAUGGCAUCAUAAAAUAAUCAAAGGAGCAAUCCGCUUUGAGAUGGACCCGCGGCGCAUUAGCUAGUUGGUGAGGUAACGGCUCACCAAGGCAACGAUGCGUAGCCGACCUGAGAGGGUGAUCGGCCACAUUGGAACUGAGACACGGUCCAGACUCCUACGGGAGGCAGCAGUGGGGAAUAUUGCGCAAUGGGGGAAACCCUGACGCAGCAACGCCGCGUGAGUGAUGAAGGUUUUCGGAUCGUAAAACUCUGUCUUUAGGGACGAUAAU
rnacentral:rRNA from 1 species